UCCUUGAUGGUUAAGACUCUACACUUCCAAUGCAGAGGAGGCAGGUUCGAUCCCUGGUCAGGGAA
rnacentral:tRNA from 1 species